GCCAUGAGCUAUAUCAUUGUGUCAUUCCAUCCACGUGCAUAAUGUGCUUAUGAGGUAUUUUCAGGCUAUUAGAUUAUUAGAUCUCUCUUUCAGAAGAAAAUUCAGUUUACUCACAGCUCAGCAAACUCUUGUGUCAAUUGUAUGAAAAGGGAGAGAAAUCAACAUCACAUCAAUAUCCAUCCUUUCCAUCUCUUUCAAGAAAACAGGGACAGAAUUUGACUGCUUUAAUUAAAGGCAAAUUUACACAGGGGCCCGCCCAGACAUAACAAUUCCAAAGAUGGAAGACAUGAUGUUGACGUAUUUCUGUUGCUUCAGCUUGUCUUCUGAAGGAAAUAUUCUGCGAAAUCUCCCAGCAUUCCUGUUUUCGAAAUCCUCUCUUGCUGU